UUACUUCUAUGGUGCAUAAAUAUGAUGAUAGGGUUUUUACAACACUCAUGUAUGAGAUGCACCUCCUUCAAACAUUUUUACAACAUCGGUACAUUACCCAACUGGCA
ensembl:snoRNA